GGCCGCAAUGGCGAAUGUAGAGGGACAGUUGGCGUUUUCAAAACGGAAAUACUAGCACUACUUAAGUUUCCUAGGGCUUAAAGGCAAGAAAAAUCUACACGUUGCGCGUACGUUAUGUCUCGAAGCGAAGUGUUGUCCACGUCCGUUGUGAGCAACUCUAAUUUACUGAAGCAUCUCUCAACGGCACACACUUCUACAAAACUAGUGGCCAGAAACACCGUUGUUGACACUGCUGACGAUGACAGCGGGCCAAGUGUAAAGCCUGGCAUGAACCUUGAGGACAGCCUGACCAGAGAAGCUGUGAAGGGGACAUUGUAACACGAUACAACGUGCUGAUCCCAGGAGACAAUCCUGAAUGAACAAAGGUGACAACAGAGCACUAUGAGUUUGCGCGACUUCCGUCUCUCCGAAGGAGCCACAGCUGGAGUGGCUCGUCCUACGCUGCCUUUAGUUGGGACCUGACCUUCGUCCUCUGGGUGUGAGCGACGUGUUCUUCCAGC